GAUGAAGAACGUAGCGAAAUGCGAUACUUGGUGUGAAUUGCAGAAUCCCGUGAACCAUCGAGUCUUUGAACGCAAGUUGCGCCCGAAGCCAUCAGGUUGAGGGCACGUCUGCCUGGCCGUCACAUAUCGUUGCUCGAUGCCUAUCGCAUUGCGAUAGGACUUAGGGCGAAUGAUGGCUUCCCGUGAGCGUUGUUGCCUCGCGGUUGGUUGAAAAUCGAGUGCAUGGUGUCGGGUGUACCAUGAUGGAUGGUGGUUGAGUGAUGAUGCUCGAGACCAAUCAUGGGUAACUCCACCAGAAUUGGGCUCGGUGACCCACAUGCGUCCCUUGGAUGCUCCCUAAGGAGACCUCAGGUCAGGCGGGGCUACCCGCUGAGUUUAAGCAUAUCAAUAAGCGGAGGA
rnacentral:misc_RNA from 1 species